rnacentral:rRNA from 1 species
GACAGAGGGUGCAAGCGUUGUUCGGAAUUACUGGGCGUAAAGCGCGUGUAGGCGGCUCUGCAAGUCGGGUGUGAAAUCCCAUGGCUCAACUAUGGAAGUGCACUCGAAACUGCAGGGCUAGAGUCCUGGAGAGGAAGGUGGAAUGCUUGGUGUAGAGGUGAAAUUCGUAGAUAUCAAGAGGAACACCGGUGGCGAAGGCGGCCUUCUGGACAGUGACUGACGCUGAGACGCGAAAGCGUGGGGAGCAAACAGG